AAUGACGCACUUGAGCAGAUGGAAGCAUCAUCCGUGGUCACAUGUUCUAUGGUUGCCUGUUUGUGUAGUGAGUAGAGACCAAUAAUGAAAGCACCUGAAGGAGAUUUGGCAUCUGUCGUGUUCAGAAGCUCCAUGGAGGGGCAUGAAGGCCAGUAAUCAACAUGCUCAAGCUGAUUUAAGUGUUUUCCAUGGCAACAAGAUCUCUGCGUAAAGCCUUGAGAUGAAAUGUGAGUAAAGGUUACCGUUCUUGUG